CCUUUUUCCAAUCACUUUGCUGAUGUAACAUUGCAUCAGCUGUAGAUUCUGUAGAAACUGAAGAUUUACAGGUGGGAUCCACUCUUCCCCCAAAAUAGUGGGGGAACUCUGGAAACUUUUCUCAUUUAACAAAUAUGUGAAAACAUUGCUGACUCCUGCUCUAGGAUGUUCAUCAACACAGAUGAUGACCUGGGCUCGCACCAGCGUUCCUGCAAGCCAAUGAAGAGCAUGCAUGGAAAGAUCGGGCUUCACCAAAACACCCGAGUCCAGUAAGAUGCUUCAACAAGAUUGUGUUCUCUGGAAGAUGUGGGAAAUAUUCAAUAUCAUAAAAAUAG